AUACAGCAAAUUUCGUCCUAAAGACAUCCCAAAACAUUCCGAACACUCCUGGAACAGUCAUAUCCGUAAAGUGUCAGAAGAAAGAAUUUCGUAGGAUGUCACAAAUAGACAGCAAUAUGACAGGCCUUUCAAAGGAGUGUUUUAGGAGUCUUGUAGGAUCAUCGUUCAGCGCAUGCGUGUUAACUUCAACUUUGCCGUUAAUGUUAUUUCUUUUAUCCAGUGACAAGAGCAAUUCUGCUAGUGAAAUCUAAACAAUAAGUCUGCUAGAUUGCAAAGUCUUGAUGGAACUGAUUUUAAAGAACGUACAAGACAAGCUAUUCGUCACAUCAUGCCUGAUGAUGUUGUUGAACUCUAAAGCUGGAUGGGCAAUAAUGAAAAAAAAGAUUUUUUGGUUACAGAGUGUCAGGUGCAAUUAUUGAAGCUGUUUGCAGUGUUUUCACAUACACUAAAGUAAAUGAAGUUGGAAGCAUUAUUAGAGGCUGGUUGCGCCAUGCUAAAGAAAGAAGAGUUUAUUCUGUAAAAAAAUUAAGGAAAUAAUAGUGUAAAUAAAAGUUUCACUUAUGUGAUUCUAA
rnacentral:lncRNA from 1 species